AAGUCGAACGAGUUCUGAUUAUUGAAAGGUGCUUGCAUCUUGAUUUAAUUUUGAACGAGUGGCGGACGGGUGAGUAACACGUGGGUAACCUGCCCUUAAGUGGGGGAUAACAUUUGGAAACAGAUGCUAAUACCGCAUAAAUCCAAGAACCGCAUGGUUCUUGGCUGAAAGAUGGCGUAAGCUAUCGCUUUUGGAUGGACCCGCGGCGUAUUAGCUAGUUGGUGAGGUAACGGCUCACCAAGGCAAUGAUACGUAGCCGAACUGAGAGGUUGAUCGGCCACAUUGGGACUGAGACACGGCCCAAACUCCUACGGGAGGCAGCAGUAGGGAAUCUUCCACAAUGGACGCAAGUCUGAUGGAGCAACGCCGCGUGAGUGAAGAAGGCUUUCGGGUCGUAAAACUCUGUUGUUGGAGAAGAAUGGUCGGCAGAGUAACUGUUGUCGGCGUGACGGUAUCCAACCAGAAAGCCACGGCUAACUACGUGCCAGCAGCCGCGGUAAUACGUAGGUGGCAAGCGUUAUCCGGAUUUAUUGGGCGUAAAGCGAGCGCAGGCGGUUUUUUAAGUCUGAUGUGAAAGCCCUCGGCUUAACCGAGGAAGUGCAUCGGAAACUGGGAAACUUGAGUGCAGAAGAGGACAGUGGAACUCCAUGUGUAGCGGUGAAAUGCGUAGAUAUAUGGAAGAACACCAGUGGCGAAGGCGGCUGUCUGGUCUGUAACUGACGCUGAGGCUCGAAAGCAUGGGUAGCGAACAGGAUUAGAUACCCUGGUACUCCAUGCCGUAAACGAUGAAUGCUAGGUGUUGGAGGGUUUCCGCCCUUCAGUGCCGCAGCUAACGCAUUAAGCAUUCCGCCUGGGGAGUACGACCGCAAGGUUGAAACUCAAAGGAAUUGACGGGGGCCCGCACAAGCGGUGGAGCAUGUGGUUUAAUUCGAAGCAACGCGAAGAACCUUACCAGGUCUUGACAUCUUUUGAUCACCUGAGAGAUCAGGUUUCCCCUUCGGGGGCAAAAUGACAGGUGGUGCAUGGUUGUCGUCAGCUCGUGUCGUGAGAUGUUGGGUUAAGUCCCGCAACGAGCGCAACCCUUAUGACUAGUUGCCAGCAUUUAGUUGGGCACUCUAGUAAGACUGCCGGUGACAAACCGGAGGAAGGUGGGGAUGACGUCAAAUCAUCAUGCCCCUUAUGACCUGGGCUACACACGUGCUACAAUGGAUGGUACAACGAGUUGCGAGACCGCGAGGUCAAGCUAAUCUCUUAAAGCCAUUCUCAGUUCGGACUGUAGGCUGCAACUCGCCUACACGAAGUCGGAAUCGCUAGUAAUCGCGGAUCAGCACGCCGCGGUGAAUACGUUCCCGGGCCUUGUACACACCGCCCGUCACACCAUGAGAGUUUGUAACACCCGAAGCCGGUGGCGUAACCCU
rnacentral:rRNA from 1 species